ACCUGAGUCAUGUUGGUCUUGGCUGUGUGAUUUGCUUUGGCCGAUGAUAAGUUGAUGGAAGUGAUAGUAAGACAAUGCUGAGCCUCAUCCUCGGAAGUAUCUCUGCCUUCACCUGGCUUUGUGCACCACUGCCCCGGCUUUGAGAAGAACAUGACCCCAGUAAAUUGUUAGUCCAGGAAGAAUGAGAGAGAAAGUCCUGAGGCAGAGAAGCGGAGAGAAGUUGCUGCUUGAGCUUGAGAAAGAAUUGUGGCAGAGUACAUGCAUGGAAGUGCUACCAUAGCUGCUCUGAAAUCAGAGGAAAGUGGAUUUAUAAGAAGACCCCAUCUGGCAAGGCUCAUAAAGGAGAGCAACUCUUAUGGAAUACAUCCAAGAUAUAUACGUCUUUGAAGAAAGACAUCACUCAACUGUGAAAGAUCACCAUGACCCCUGCUUUAAUUUCAUCAAAAAACUUAGUCCAUCAGCUCAGUUACCCUUUAGCCUUGCAUGGGAAUUGACUCAGAGCUUCUGUGAGAUCAGGGUGAAUAUGAAUUGUUUAGCUUCAGAUGAUCAUUCCUAAAGUGAAAACUCCUGGA
rnacentral:lncRNA from 1 species